GCUGGUCCGGGUGUGGCAGGGGCAUCAGCUGGAUUGUAGCUUGUUUAGGAGAUUCCCGAGGGCCCCUGGAGGUUCCCGCUGGGGCUCAGCCUCCCAGGGGCCCCCCCAGUGUGGCUUCCCACCUUGCCACCUGAAGUCCUGUUUCUCCAUCUGCCUGGUGUCUUCCCAAAUUUUGAACCUAAGCGGAUUAAUCUGUUGAUGCUUUCCGUAUACAUUGGCAGGCAUGGCACCCCAGGCGCAACAACUCCAGAUGGAAGACAUACUAUUACCCCUCAAAAAAAUUCUACAAAAAAAACAGAUGAGGAACAAAAGGAAACAACUUCAAAGGAAGGAGGCAGCCAUGACACGCCAGCCAUUCCAGGCCAGGCACAGCUCAUCAGCCACAGCGGGCCAGGCACACUACCGCAGGCGCGGUACAGCAGCCAAACCACGCCAGGCUCAGCACGGUAGUCACAGCUUGUCAACUACAUCACGCCAGUCACAGCACACCCGGCACAUCACGCCCAGCACAACACACCAGGCACAACACACCGGACACACCAAGCCAGGCAAACCGUACCAGGCACAGCAUACCAGGCAAUCCAAGCCAGGCGAAGCACGCCAGAGACACCACACCAGGCAAACCACACCAGCCACACCACGCCAGUCACACCAUGCCAGGCACAGCACCUCAGGCACAGCAAACCAGAGACACCAUAGCAGGCCCAGCACUUCAAGCACAGCACACCAGGCACAUCAAGCCAGGCACAGCAUGCCAAGCUUGCCACACAAGGCACAGGACACCAAACACAACACACCAGGCACAACACACAAGCCACAGCAUGCCAGGCACAGAAUGCCAGGCUUGCCACACAAGGCACAGGACACCAAACACAACACACCAGGCACAACACACAAGCCACAGCACACCCGGCACCACUCAACAGGCACAGCGCAGCUGGCACGGCGCACCAGACACAACCAGCCAAGUCCACGCUGCGUCUACACUUGCUUUAAGGUAGUAGCAAUCUGCUCUGCUUGGGAAAAGCCUUUCUGAAGGUUAUAAUCCUAUCUUCUCUGCCUGCAAGCUCGAGCCUUUGUUAAUUGAGGAUCUACUGUAUGCAAAGGUCCGAGGUGCAAGAAUCCUUGCCAGUUCUGCUCCAGAUGGAGCAAAUACCAAUACUUAAAAAAAAAAAAAAAAAAAAAAAAACAAAACUUCAAAGCAUAGAAGCGGACCCAAUCCUGGAUCUUCUAAGAUGGCAUAUCUGAAAGAGACGGUUGAGUGAAAGACCUGGAGGCUGAGGACUGGGGAUUGAACCUGGGUCUCAAGACAUGCCGGGCAAAUACUGUAACGGCUGAGCCCCUCCCUGGGAAUUGGGAACCAGCUAGCUAGACUACUGAAUGGUGACCUCAGGUAUGUCCGACCUCCAGGUACAUAGACCCUGCAGAAGAUCCCUCAGCGGGCAGCAGGGGCCCCAACCCUGGCUUGCUUCUUCUCCAGCUUGGCAAAACCCAACCCUGUUGGCUUCGGUGACCUUUCCUGGACCGCUGGCGGAGUGAGGACAAGCAAGGCUACUGUGUGAAGCCUACUGAAGACCUUGAGGGAGCCACAGUAAACAUUGCAACUGUGUUUGAUGAAGAACUUGGCUUUGGGUCCUGCUAGCAGGAAGAGCUCAAACUGGCUUGGCAAGGGCAGGCAGGCCUGAGGCCAUAGCUUGGCUGCAGGGCCUGGGAAGGAACUCUGAGACUGUGCACUCAAAAGGAACCCGGAGCCUUCUCUCCCAAAGCAGCUACCCACCUUCUUUGUAUCUCUAAGCUCCUGCUUGGCUGGAGGUAGUAACAUAUUAAUGAUAAGAAUGAAAAUUAAUUAAUCCCGGUCAUCCUGACGACAGCACACUGGCAUUCCUUAAGAAGAGGAGAAACAUUAAGCAAUCUUUUGGCACGGAGCACACUGGAACCUGCUUCUAAUACCAGAUGUUGAGCUGUUUAAAGCUCGCUGCCCGUGAUGAGGGCUAUUCGAGGGACAGUCCCCAGCAGGUGCCCCGUAGGGGAGGUGGUAGCCUGUGCGGUGGCGUUCAGGAUAAGGAAGCUCCAGCGACUGCAAAAAACGAAAGACUUUUAUUGAAAAAUAUGAAAUGG
rnacentral:lncRNA from 1 species